rnacentral:lncRNA from 1 species
UGAAUGACUUGCAAAGUUUUAAAACAGAUAAGGUUUAACUAUUCAGGUGUAUUUUUAAAAGAAAAAAAAAAAAAACAACUCUUUACCAGGAUGAGGUGUAAUUGAUAAGGAGUAUAUAAAGCUGGUUUCUAAAAUGAUUGCAGCAAGCAUUUGUGGGUGAAAUGCUCUUAGUAAAGACCUCUUAGAGGAGGAGAAAACAAAUCCAUCAAAUAUGGAGGUUAAGAGAAAUGACAAAGGCCCAUUAAAUAACUAAAUUGAAAAACAUGUUUAGUGAAGUCCCUGGCAAAGUGUCAACUGAAGUCUUAAUAG